rnacentral:rRNA from 1 species
UACAGAGGGUGCGAGCGUUAAUCGGAAUUACUGGGCGUAAAGAGCGCGUAGGCGGCUCGGUAAGCCGGAUGUGAAACCUCCAAGCUCAACUUGGAGCGGCCAUUCGGAACUGCCGUGGCUAGAGUCUGGUAGGGGAACACGGAAUUCCUGGUGUAGCGGUGAAAUGCUUAGAUAUCAGGAGGAACACCAGUGGCGAAGGCGGUGUUCUGGGCCAGUACUGACGCUGAGGCGCGAAAGCGUGGGGAGCGAACAGG